GUAGAUUUACAUGUAAACAUAAGAAGGGAUUAAUUAGGACGACGAUAAAGUUAAUAUAUACGUCAGAUCUCAUUAAGAUGUCAGCAAUAAGAACCAGAAUUUGCGACAAAGCAGACAGUGGCAGAGAUGAAAACUUGGCUACUGUUAUAAAACGAAUGAAAUCAAGUUUUGAAAAGCAAGACUUAGCACUUAUUGUUAAUGGAGAAAGGCUGUUUAUAAACAAAGCUGAAUUAAUGGAAAAGUCGCCUGUUUUCAAGACUAUGUUAACUGCAGAUUUUAAGGAGAAAAACGCGACUGAAAUAGAAUUGCCAAAUAAGGACUUGUAUCAUUUUUUAUUGUUUCUAAGAUGUACACUGGACGGGUAUGAAGAUAAAAUAAACGGCACAAAUGUUCACUCCAUCAUUCCACUGGCACAUGAAUAUCAGGUGGAGAAAACUUUGGAUAAAGCUGAUUCGUUCUUGUCAAAGAAACACAAAGAUACCGGAUUUGACAAAUGUCGAUGUCAAAUGAUAGUUGAUGGUAUUGUUGAAGCUGAAAAAUUCGGUCUUACUGAAACUUUGAACAUGUUGAUUGAUUUUGCAUCAAGAAAAAAGUUUUCAGUCUUUUCAAAAGCAAAAGGUUUCGAUGUAAUUACCACCCAAACUUUAUUUACAAUAUCGAUGACGAGAUGGCAAAAUGAUAUUGAUGCUCAUACUGGCAAAACAAGUUUUUCGCAAUAUUAUGUAAGUGGCGUUUCAGAAUAAUAGUUUUAUUUCAAUAUCCAUCAUUUUGAGUAAAGCAGUUAAAACACGUUAUAUCAAUGUUAUCUCAACAUUCCUCUUGCAAUUUUGUUCGGUAUUUUGCUUGAUUAUAAGUCAGUUCAGUAACUCUCUAUGUGAUGAAUGAUUUUGUACCAAAAAGACUACCUUUUAUAAUAAAAUGGAUACAU